UCGAGAAUCAUUCGCAAUGGGCGAAAGCCUGACGAUGCGACGCCGUGUGUGUGAUGAAGGCCUUAGGGUCGUAAAGCACUUUCGCUUGGGAACAAGAGAGGUCGGAUAAUACCCGGCUAAUUUGAGGGUACCAGGUAAAGAAGCACCGGCUAACCACGUGCCAGCAGCUGCGGUAAUACGUGGGGUGCAAGCAUUAAUCGGAAUUAUUGGGCGUAUAGGGCGCGUAGGCGGACUAUCAAGUCGGAUGUGAAAUCCUAAGGCUCAACCUUAGAACUGCAUCCGAAACUGAAUGUCUAGAGGGUAGGCGGAGAAAACGGAAUUCCACAAGUAGCGGUGAAAUGCGUAGAUAUGUGGAAGAACACCUGUGGCGAAAGCGGUUUUCUAGCUUAUUCCUGACGCUGAGGCGCGAAAGCAAGGGGAUCAAACAG
rnacentral:rRNA from 1 species